UACGUAGGGUGCAAGCGUUAAUCGGAAUUACUGGGCGUAAAGCGUGCGCAGGCGGUUUUGUAAGCCAGAUGUGAAAGCCCCGGGCUUAACCUGGGAAUGGCAUUUGGGACUGCAAGGCUUGAGUGCGGCAGAGGAGACUGGAAUUCCUGGUGUAGCAGUGAAAUGCGUAGAUAUCAGGAGGAAUACCGAUGGCGAAGGCAGGUCUCUGGGCUGACACUGACGCUCAUGCACGAAAGCGUGGGGAGCAAACAGGAUUAGAA
rnacentral:rRNA from 1 species